UCUGUCAUUUAUUCAUGUCAUAAUCCCCAAAGCUACCUUUAUUCCACAACUCUUUCCACCAUUUUCCUACGGUCAGCUUUUUUUAAGGCUAUAGCCUUUAAAAACUUGAAAUAGAAAAUUUUAAGGAUGCAACCAUUAGAAAAUGUUCCCAUACUACCAUUUAACAUUCCCCAUUUAUCAUUAUGUUUACUAUCGUGUAAUUUCCAACAUAAUAUUAUGAGGUCAAAGGCUCUACGAACGCCGUUUUACAGUCUACCUAGGCAGGCAAUGGCUGUGAAACACACCACACCAAUGACAGGAAUGCGGGUCACUGUGACACAGCUGAUCCCUCUGCAAAGUCAAAACUAGAGUUCACUUUACGCUGACGGAGCUUCUUUCCAGGACCCCCACCCCCACCCGAGGACAGGAGAGUGUCGAUUUCCCAAGGUGUCUGGCACUGCUUCUUGAAAACGCAGCUCUCAUCUGGUUCCUGGAAGGUCAUACUGGUUCGCGCAGGCCUCGGGACGGGGCGCUUGGCUUCUGAGGCACCCGCGCUGGCUCCUCACCCGGUGACCUUCAGGCCUCUGCGCUUGGCCUGACCCUAGAAGGGCCACUGCCCUUCACAGCGGGCGGGCACUGUCCCUCCCACGGCCCCGCCGACUGCUGACGCGGUGGCCCCAAGGGUCCAGGCCCGCACUUGCCCCACUCCCGCGGCGCCGUCCCCCAUAGUCGGUCCCCGAGGGCCGCGCCCAGCUCCUGCUCGGAUUUCAGCCCGCACCGCACCCCAACCGCCAGGGAACCUUCCAGAACCCUGCCCCUCUGGCUUUCUCCCGAAAGCCCAGGGUCGCCGUCCAGGAAGAAACUUCGAUUCAUUUAUUGAGCGCCAACUGUGUCCAGGGCCGAGGGAGGGGCGGGGUUUCCACGCGAGGAGACCCCUAGGCUCUCGCCUCGGUAAGCGCCCGCGUUCCAGCACCUCGAGUCGCCCGCGGGCCCCCACCCCUCGGGCCGGGCCCGGUCCUCGAGGAAAACCCACGGCGGGGCAGGAAGGGACAAGGAGAGCCGCGCUCCUUGCCCGCCUCGUCCCCUCCACUCGCCUUCACCUCACGGGACCCCAGGGAAGCCGCCGGAGCUAAAAUUAGCAACUCGCGCGGCGCGCGCUCACGUGCGCGCGGCCGGGCGGGGGCGGGGAGCAAGGGGCGCGGUCCGGGUGAGUCACCGGCCCCGCCCCACUCGCCGAGAACGCGCUGACGUCAGCCGCUUCCCCGAAGGGUGACGUAAGCGCGCCACGGGGAGGCCGAGGCAGCUGAUAGAAUGUUCUGAGUUUUGAUGCCUUAAAGGGACCAGGCCUGGGAUCGUGAAACAUCUGGGGAAACGACUCCACUCACCCACCUGCAGACUGAGAGCCCAUCUUGUACCGUUUUAUACUUAAAGAGAGUUGACUGUUGAGAUGAUGAUGAAAACGGAAGAACAACUGAGCCUAGUUGGAGGCUCUUUGAAGUCCCAGAACCUCCUCCUGGAAGCCCUCCUUGGUUAACCAGAUGGACAUUUCAGUUGCCCUCUGAGCCUGAACCAAGUGUCAGGAAGAGUUUUCUAUGGCCCUUGACUCCCUAACUCUUUGCUUAUAGCGUCUCUGCUGUCUGAUGCCUCUGCUGUCAGAGAAAGGCUGUGGUUUAAAUAUUUAUUUAUGAAUCCAUCAACUUGGGCCAACUAGGCCCAUUUAUCACUGUUUUGACUGUGUCUAAACUGUCAUUAGUGGUGUGACUAGAAACCAGUUAAUGUCGCUGGAUGGUAAAUUCGUGGACUGAUCUCCAAACCCUCCUACUGUGCUAAUGUUGCCAUGGAAGUUUCCAGAGGCCAGGAUCCCUGGCCAACACGUGAUCGUAAACAACAUCAGGGCCUCACAGGGAACUCACAAUUUACUGAGGUUUGCUCUGUGCCAGGUGUUUUCAUGAUCCUCCGUCCCCUUGUCGUUUAGUCCUCUUCUCUGAGGUAGGUAUUGUCCUCCCCAUUUUACUGAUGAGAACGGAAAUCGAGGCACACGAUUAAGCGUGUUUCCCUGGGUCACACAGCUAAUGAAUGGCGAGCUGGAAGUCAGUCCCAGGUCAUCAGACUCCGAAGUCCAUGGUUUUGGUGAUGAAGGUGGGCUGUGAUAUGUGUGUCUUAUUCUGUGCAUGUGAGUCCCCUAGAACCAACUUUUCCACUUGGAACACAAUCUCAGUGCCUUUCAGCAGGUAACCGGCGCCAGACCAGAUCUCCAGAGAUGGAGGUGGCCAGCCUCAGGGCCCAGCCAUGGGAAGGUGUAUGAGGAGGCAUUGCAUCAGGCGCCCAUCCUGUGCUUGCAGGGCCUGACCAUGAGCGCCGCCUUCAGUUUUACACCUUAGGCACCCCACUUGGCUCCCCUUCGUUCCAGCCCUGCCAGACCCACCCUUGACUCUGUGUUUCCUUUCUGGAAACUCGAGAGGCCAUUCUACUUAAAGAGUCCUCACCUGGCCUACCAGCGACCAGAUCUGCCCAAGUGCAGAAGAAACUUGGUUAUCUCCUCUUUCAUCGUCCCCGCUCGAGCAUAAAACAACAGAAAGUUUCCUAUCGGAACAGCAUGCUUGUGCCAAAAACAAAUUAGAAACAACAACAACUUCUCAAAAUUUUGAGCAAAAUGAUGGUGACCGUGUCCUGGAAAUGGAGCAAAGUUUCCUAGUGCCUGUGACCAAACACCUUGUGUGGGCUCCCCAGGAGAGAAAACCGCUAGCAGCCUCAGACAGGUGAGGAGUUGUUCCUCCUCAGACCCAGGAAUCAUUUCCCAGUGGAAUGACACAGUGAAGUGGAUCACCAUUUUUAAACCUUCAAUAAUAAAGAACUUGUGUGUCAUUUC